UACGUAGGGUGCAAGCGUUGUCCGGAAUUAUUGGGCGUAAAGAGCUCGUAGGCGGUUUGUCGCGUCUGCUGUGAAAACCCGAGGCUCAACCUCGGGCCUGCAGUGGAUACGGGCAGACUAGAGUGCGGUAGGGGAGAUUGGAAUUCCUGGUGUAGCGGUGGAAUGCGCAGAUAUCAGGAGGAACACCGAUGGCGAAGGCGGGUCUCUGGGCCGUAACUGACGCUGAGGAGCGAAAGCAUGGGGAGCGAACAGG
rnacentral:rRNA from 1 species